CAGUCGCCACGGGAAUACGGAGGGCGCGAGCGUUACCCGGAUUUACUGGGCGUAAAGGGCGUGUAGGCGGCCUGGGGCGUCCCAUGUGAAAGGCCACGGCUCAACCGUGGAGGAGCGUGGGAUACGCUCAGGCUAGAGGGUGGGAGAGGGUGGUGGAAUUCCCGGAGUAGCGGUGAAAUGCGCAGAUACCGGGAGGAACGCCGAUGGCGAAGGCAGCCACCUGGUCCACUUCUGACGCUGAGGCGCGAAAGCGUGGGGAGCAAACCGGAUUAGAUACCCCAGUAGUCCCUGUCUCUUAUAC
rnacentral:rRNA from 1 species